rnacentral:rRNA from 11 species
UCUGGUAAUGAUGGCAGAGAGGUCACACCCGUUCCCAUACCGAACACGGAAGUUAAGCUCUCUAGCGCCGAUGGUAGUUGGGACUUUGUCCCUGUGAGAGUAGGACGUUGCCAGGC